rnacentral:rRNA from 1 species
UCUGGUUGAUCCUGCCAGAGGUUACUGCUAUCGAGGUUCGACUAAGCCAUGCGAGUCGAAUGUAGCAAUACAUGGCGAACUGCUCAGUAACACGUGGACAACCUGCCCUUAGGUUGGGUAUAAACCCGGGAAACUGGGUAUAAUACCCGAUAGGUCUCGAUUGCUGGAAUGCAUCGAGAUUUAAAGCUCCGGCGCCUAAGGAUGGGUCUGCGGCCUAUCAGGUAGUAGUGGGUGUAGCGUACCUACUAGCCUACGACGGGUACGGGUUGUGAGAGCAAGAGCCCGGAGAUGGAUUCUGAGACACGAAUCCAGGCCCUACGGGGUGCAGCAGGCGCGAAAACUUUACAAUGCUGGCAACAGCGAUAAGGGAACCUCGAGUGCCAGGUUACAAAUCUGGCUGUCGAGAUGCCUAAAAAGCAUUUCAUAGCAAGGGCCGGGCAAGACCGGUGCCAGCCGCCGCGGUAACACCGGCGGCUCGAGUGGUAACCGUUAUUAUUGGGUCUAAAGGGUCUGUAGCCGGCCGGAUAAGUCUCUUGAGAAAUCUGGCAGCUUAACUGUCAGGCUUUCAGGAGAUACUGUCUGGCUCGAGGCCGGGAGAGGUGAGAGGUACUUCAGGGGUAGGGGUGAAAUCUUGUAAUCCUUGAAGGACCACCAGUGGCGAAGGCGUCUCACCAGAACGGACCUGACGGCAAGGGACGAAAGCUAGGGGCACGAACCGGAUUAGAUACCCGGGUAGUCCUAGCCGUAAACGAUACUCGCUAGGUGUCGGCCACGGUGCGACCGUUGUCGGUGCCGUAGGGAAGCCGUGAAGCGAGCCACCUGGGAAGUACGGCCGCAAGGCUGAAACUUAAAGGAAUUGGCGGGGGAGCACCACAACGGGUGAGCUUGCGGUUUAAUUGGAUUCAACGCCGGAA